ACAUCCUUCCAAACCCGUUCUGC
rnacentral:siRNA from 1 species